AUGGAGCCAGGAGAAGCAGCGGCAGGAGAACAAAGGGCAACUCUACAAUCACCACUAAAAAUAACAAUAGCACUGACAGUUGUAACAAUUGUAGUAGUUGUAGGUAAUACAGUAACAUCAACAAUAGCUGCUGUAGCAGUAGGAGCAGCAGCAGGGGCAGCAGCUGGAAUUGGCAUUUUACAAUCACUAUGGGAGGCAAAAAUAAGAACAGUAGCAGUAGCAGUAACAGCAGCAGCAGGAUGCUUUGCAGGAACAACAGCAGCAAUAUUGCAAUCAUUGUUAGGAGCACAGUCACUAACAGGAUCAUCAGUAACUGGAGCAAUGGCAGGAGCUGCAAUAGUAACAGUAGCAAGAACACAAUUACAGUGGGCAAUAGAAACAAUACAGUGGGUAAUAGAAACAAUACAGUGGGCAAUAGAAACCAUUCAAUGGGUGGUAAACCUAGUGCAAAAAUUAAAAGCAUCAUUACCUGCAGCAACAGUAACUGGAGGAUCAGGAUUAGCAGCAGCCGUAUUAUAUCAAGCAUUGCAAGAAGAAGCAGUAGAAGCAUCAUCUGGACCAGGAGCAUUUAGACCAGCAUCAUCUGGAUCAGAAGUAUCUCGGCCAGCAGUAUCAGGUCCACCAUCAUCUGGACCAGUACCUUCAGGACCAGGAGCAUCUGGAGCAGCAGUAUCAGGUCCAGCAUCAUCUGGAACAGGAGCAUCUAGAUCAGGAUCUGGGGCACCAGUAUCAGGUUCAGCAUCAUCUGGACCAGGGCCUUCAGGACCAGGAGCAUCUGGAGCAGCAGUAUCAGGUCCACCAUCAUCUGGAACAGGACCUUCAGGAUCAGCAGCAUCUGGAGCAGCAGUAUCAGAUACAGCAUCAUCUGUAACAGGACCUUCAGGAUCAGGAGCAUCUGGACCAGCAGUGUCAGGUCCAGCAUCAUCUGGAACAGGACCUUCAGGACCAGGAGCAUCUGGACCAGCAGCGUCAGGUCCAGAAUCAUCUGGACCAGGACCUUCAGGAGCAGCUGGAGCAGCAGUAUCAGAUACAGCAUCAUCUGGAACAGGACCUUCAGGACCAGGAGCAUCUGGACCAGCAGCGUCAGGUCCAGAAUCAUCUGGACCAGGACCUUCAGGAGCAGCUGGAGCAGCAGUAUCAGAUACAGCAUCAUCUGGACCAGGACCUUCAGGAUCAGGAGCAUCUGGAUCAGCAGUGUCAGGUCCACCAUCAUCUGGACCAGGACCUUCAGGGCCAGGAGCAUCUGGAUCAGGACCUUCAGGCCCGGGACCAUCUGGACCAGCAGAAUCGGGUCCAGCAGCAUCUGGAGCAACGGGAACAGGAUCAGCAGCAUCAGGACCAGGAGCACCGGGUACAGCAGCAUCUGAAGCAACAGGAUCAGCAGCUUCUGGAGCAGCAGGACUGGCAGCAGCAGCAGGAUCAGCAGGUGCGGGAGUAGCAGCAGGAGUAAUGGGAGGAAUACUGGGAGGACUUUUGGCAGGAGCAGGAGCAGAAAAUAAUGGAUCAAAACAGAAAAGCCCAUCAAAGGCACAAUCAGCAGUGAAGGUAAGACAGCAGAUUGGUGUGACAGCUUGUGCAAUUUAAGUGUGUGCUUUGAAUGUGACCCUGUUUCAUAAUACACUGAACAAAAUUAUAAACGCAACACUUUUGUUUUUGCCCCCAUUUUUCAUGAGCUGAACUCAAAGAUCUAAGACUUUUUCUAUGUACAAAAAAGGCAUAUUUCUCUCAAAUAUUGUUCACAAAUCUAUCUAAAUCUGUGUUAGUGAGCACUUCUCCUUUGCCGAGAUAGUCCAUCCACCUCACAAGUGUGGCAUAUCAAGAUGCUGAUUAGACAGCAUGAUUAAUGCACAGGUUUGCUUUAGGCUGGCCACAAUAAAAGGCCACUCUAAAAUGGGGAGUUUUACUGU
ensembl:lncRNA